rnacentral:lncRNA from 1 species
GGAAUUGUAAUAGACUUAUGUCUAUUAGGUUUAAGAGUCCUAAACCAUGUUGUAGCAACAACCUUUAUCUCAAUAAAUAGGAGCUGCAUGGGUUCUGUAAGUGCAUGUGAGACUAAAAACCUAGAGAAUCAAGAGUGAUAGAGAGAUAAGAGCAAAAUAGGGAAGGGUUUGAGGGUUUUUGUUGUAAGUACUUGUAAAUACCUAAAUUUUUUUCAUAAUGUUGGUGAAUCUCUCAAGAGAGAUCACAAAGUGGAUGUAGGCUAAAGUUUUGGCUUAUAAAUCUGUUGUGUUUCUAUUUUCAUCUAUUUUAGCUUUGUGGUAUAUAAGCAAAGCUAAAAUAGAAUGGUUGUUUCAUAUGUGGUUCAACCGACCACUGGAAAAGAAAUUACAAACAAUGGAAGGAGAAAAAGGGGCAGAUGAUAGGAGAAAGCUAAAAUAGAUGAAAAUAGAAACACAACAGGUUUAUAGUGGUUCAACCAAAACUUUAGCCUUCGUCCACUUCGUGAUCUCUUUUGAGAGAUUCACCAACACUAGUACUUAUUGCGGAACCCUCAAACCCUUCCCUAUCUAGCUGUUAUCUCGCAAAUACUUGUGUCGCCAAAGGUAUUAACGACGACAAUUGUGCCAUCGCAAGAGCAUUAGUGACAACAAAACUUUGUCAUCGCAUACUAUUACCACGACAGACAUGCCUUGGCUAAUACCAUUGGCUAUGCCAGCAUUUGCCACUAAAGCCAUUUGCUAUGACAUAAUACCAUUGCAUAAUGUAAUUCAUGAAUUUUUUUUAUUUUUCAUUUUUUUAAGUGGUAUAUAUAUAUACAGUCCCUAUCUAGAGCGAAGCUUCACUCUGAAAUUAAAGUGUGAAGUUCCUUAUUUCACUCAUUUUUUUGUCAUAUUUUCACAUCUCCACCGUUUAGUUUAUAGAACCUAAUGCAUAGAUCACUUCUGCAAAGUUUCAUCAAAUUUGAAGAUCGUUUGGGUUUUCGUAAUCAUUAUUUACAUAAACAGUUCUGGUUAGACAAAUUUAUGGUCCGUUUAUUAAUUUGAUCUAAUUCAGUACCCAAAUGAUCAUCAAUCUUGAUGAAAUUUUGUAUGAAUGAUCUAUACAUUAGUAUAAGUAAUUUGAACGAUGGAGAUGUAGAAAUAUGACGAAAAAGUGAGUGAAAUAAAAAACUUCAUACUUUAAUUUCAGAGCGAAACUUCGCUCUGGAUAGGAACUGUAUAUAGAUAUAUUAUAAAUAAAUUAAGACAUAUAGAAAGGAAUCCCAAUUUAAUCUUCUCACGAAUUGUACAAAAAACAUGAAGCACUUGAACAAACACUUAAAAAAUAGGGACAAUGCCCACUAGCCUUAAUUUUAAGAAUUUUAUUCCCACUAACAAAAUCAAAUUUUAAAAUUCCCAAGAGUUAACAUAAACAACAGAAAGACAAUUAUACCCUUAAUGAAUUAAAUAAACUACAAUAGACCAUUAUUAGAGUCUAUUAUAAAAUAAUGUUUCUAUGACCGGAUUUCCACGACUAAUGAUGUUGAUUGGGCUCCGCCAACCGUUGACCAGACUCCGACGAAAGCUAGGGGAUCUAUUGGGGACAAUAGGGGUCUAUUGGGGGUAGUAGGGGUCUAUUAGGGGCAGUAGGGAAUCUGUUCGGGGAUCUACUGGGGGCUGUAGGGGGGUCUACUAGAGGCAGUAGGAGGUCUAUUGGAGGUCUAUUAGGGUAUGUCUAGGGGUUCUACUGGGGGUAAUAGGAGGGUCUACUGGGGGCAGUAGGAGGUCUAUUGGGGUCUGUCCGGGGGUUUUACUGGGGGUAGUAGGAGGGUCUAUUGAAAGGAGUAUGAGGUCUAUUAAGGGCAUUAUGAGGAUCUAUUAUGGACAAUAAGGGUUCUAUUGGGAACAAUAUGCCAAAAUAAAAACUAAAAACACAAUUUCAUCGAUAAUAAACCCGAACCAAAUUAAUCAAGAAAUACAAGUGUGGACAAUGACCACACAUAUCAUAAAUACAUAAUACUAACUUAAUUCCAAGGUGGGUAGUAUUGUAGUAGCAUACAAGUACAAACACAUGAGUAGCUUUCUCCGCAUAUUAUACUAGGCUAUUAUACUAUUCUAAGCUCCACCACUCAGAUUUCAAUUCCUUUCACCAGAUGUAGACAGUAGUAUUACUCGUCUUGCCAUAGAUACAAGAGCAUAGCUGAUUUGAGCUGCAAGUCCACAAACAACUCUGAGGUAGAUACUUGGCGGAUCCCCCAUUUACUUGGCCCCAAUACCCACCAGCGUCGACAGAGCCCCCAAUUUCCUAACAGUUACUCCAAAAAAGAUUGACUACGGCAGAUUGAGCCAUGACGACACAUCAUUUAAGAGGAGAUGAACAGAGGCUGCUUCAGCGCGUUUAGGGGGAGUGAUUGGAGCGAAUCGAUUAGGAUCAGGGAUUGUGGUUGUCUUCUCCAACAUUGAAGGCGUCACCGGCGAUUUCAUUGUUGAAAUCGAAAAUGCAGUUGAAGAUGACGCCUAAACGCAUGUCGUCGAGGCGUCGGCAUUGUUGUCGUCAUCAUUGAGGUGGAGGAGUUGUCGGCGAUGUCAAGACGGAGGAGUCGUCGGUGAUGUCCUGAUGGCGGCUCUUUUUAUGACGAGAGAGAGAGAGAGAGAGAGAGAGAGAGAGAGAGAGAGAGAGAGAGAGAGAGAGAGAGAGAGAGAGAGAGAGAGAGAGAGAGAGAGAGAGAGAGAGAGAGAGAGAGAGAGAGAGUAGAGAGAGAGAGAGAGAGAGAGAGAGAGAGNNNNNNNNNNNNNNNNNNNNGAGAGAGAGAGAGAAGUAGAUCUAGAAAAGAGAGAGGAAACAAAUCUGGGAGAGAAGAGAUAAAGAGGUCAGAGAAGAGAGAUAAUAGACAUGGGUAAUUUGGUCAGGAAAAAAACACUAAAAGUUAAAAAAUUUGUUAGUGGGAAUAAAUCACUAAGAGUCUACAAGUUGAUGGGAAUUUUAGAUUCUGAUUUUGUUAGUGGGAAAUAAAUCUGUAAAUUUAGGGCUAAUGAGUAUUUUCCCUAAAAAAUAUAUUUAGCAAGGUCUAAAAUAAUCCUCAAGCUGAUAAAUGCAAAAGUUUAAAAGGUAUUUUCGUUCUGUUGUUUCAAGAUGAAUUUUGCAAGGAUAUUCCUGGAUCUUUCACGUGUCAAUCACUCAGUGUAUAGAACCUAGUAAACCUCUUAUAACAGAAAUCAAAUAGAAAGUGUCAUAUAAGUUAACAAUUUGUACAUAUGCAUAUAAUCUGUUAAUUUUUUUUUGAAAGUUACAUAUAUCUGUAAUUUAGUAAUUUAGACAUGCAUAUAAUCUGUAAUUUAGUAACUUAAAAAUUUCAGGUUGGGUCGGUGGGAUGAUAACGAUGGAACGUGGCUAAUGAAUUGGGCGGAGUGGAAGGUUGGGUUGGGUUGUUGGAAGAGUUCGUGCUGGCCGGGCCCAUGCCGGCUCUGGUACGUACCAAUGACAUGAUUAUUCUACUGCUAAAUUAAGAAAAUUAAAGAAAUCAAGAUACUACAAAAUUAAUUCUUCAUUCAUAUCUAGUCAUGGAAGUUUACAUAGGGGUGGGCAUAAAACCCGAAAUGGAAAAAAAGACUGAACUGGACCGGCCGGCCCGACUAGGCCGGGCAGGGUUUUUUUACGGACUCUUGUUUAUUUUCUGUCAUUUUGGGCCGAGCCUAAUUUUCAGAACCAUUUUCGACCCGAAAGCCCGACAUGCAUAUGUGUCACUCAUUAAUUGGAUAAUUUUAACAGUCCUAUACUAGUAAUAUAGACUCAACCACACAAGAUUAGUCCAUUUUGUGUAAAGUUAAACCCUAGAGUCCUAAACUUCAAUACUUCAUACCCGGUCCCUGUCGACCUAAACCAAACAUAGAUGAAACAGAGAGCCAGAGACGCUGCACCUAAACCAAAUCCCUCGACGCCUCCGCCGUUCCGCGCCUCUUGAUGCCUUCGCCCUCUGCGCCUCUCGACGCCUCCGUCGUUCCGCGCCUCUUGACUCCCUCCGCCCUCUGCGCCUAAACUAAACGCCACGACGCCUCCACCCUCUGCACCUCUUAACGCCGAACCGGCCCUCCUCGCCUCUCGAUGCCUCCGCCCCUCCUCGCCUCUCGACGCCUUUGCGCCUCUCGACGAUGCCUGCCGCCUGCACCUCUUAAGCCUCGGCGACGCCAGCGCACAUCUUCCUCUCUUCGUUUGGUAAGCUUUCUAAGUUCUAAUCAAUUGUGAAUUUUUUGAUUGUGGUUUUCAAAUUCUGGCUUCAUUCUGAAUCAGAUUUUCCCUUAUUGAGAAUCAGACGCUCCCUCUCGAGUCUGGAUGACAGCAAAACAAGCCCGAAACCCGGCAAAACCGGUCCGGGCUUUUGCCGGGCCCUAAAUUUUUUGAUGCAAAGACCGGCCCGGUUGUACUGUUACCGGUCCGGGCCCGGUCCCUAUGAAAAGUAGGCCGGUCUCGGCCCGCGCCCAGCCCUAAGUUUAUAACAUAUAUAAAGAGUUUAACUGCUAUAGAUUAGGGAUAACCGUCUGUUAAGAUGACUGCCUAUAGAUGGGCCAAAGGCCUUUAUUCUACAAUUGAGCUAAGACCUUUACACAACAUGAAGAUUAAUAUAAGAUUAAAUUCAGUGUACUACCCUGAACUUUGGAUUACUUUUCACUUGUGUCCAUGUAUUUUUUAUUUAAUCAUGUGUACCCUUCUGCUCUUAAAAUCCAUCAAAGUCGGACAAAAUUUAAAAUCGGCACCUAAUGUGACGUCAUGUGCUGAUGUAGAGCCGACAAGAUGGUCCCACUUAUCAGUUUCCAUACCUCGAUGAAGGGCAAAAUUGUCAUUUAAAGUUUUUUUUUGCCUUCAAUUUGCCUUCAAUUUUUAUUAUUUAUUUUUAAUUAUCUUUUCCACUAUCCUCCUCUCAUUUUCCCCCUCCAUGGCUCCAUCAAACAGAGCUCUCAUCUUCCCCAAUUCAUAGCAAAAUCAAAACCCUUCGUCCACAAAAUCAAAUCAUACUUACCACAAAAACCUAACCUAAACCACACAACCCUACAACCACUUUCAGUUCUUGAAGCCCAACCUCCCCAACCCAGCAACCUCAAAAACUGUUCAUCGACCUGACCCGAACCCUAUAGCCACUACCAGUUCUGAUUCCGAGAGGAGAGCAUCGUUGAAUUUGGAUUCGACCAGUACGUCGUGNNNNNNNNNNNNNNNNNNNNGAGAGAGAGAGAGAGAGAGAGAGAGAGAGAGAGAGAAUGAAGUUGAAGGAAAAAUAAGUGGUAAAGGGGUUAGUUUAGACAUAUUGGCUAAUUGAUGGUGAAAAGUUGAACUGUGGGUCCUUUUUGUCGACUCCACAUCAGCGCCUGACGUCAUGUUAGGUGUUGAACUGAAAUUUUGUCCGGUUUUGAUGGAUUUUAAGAGUACGAGGGUACACGUGAUUAAAUAAAAAGUAUUGGGACAUAAGUGAAAAGUGAUCUAAAAUUCAGGGUAGUACAAUGAAUUUAAUCCAUUAAUAUAACUAAAACUGAUAAUUAGGAACAUAUUGAAGAGUAAUUCCAUCAGACCUAAACCCUAAUUCCAUCUUUAGAGCUUCUUCUUCUACAUGCAAAUUGUAUCAUAUAUGCAUAUGCCAAUUUAAGAGUGAAUUCAUUUGGCAGGUGCCCUCCACUCAUACAUACUAGCACAAUAUUGCGGGAUUGAGACAUGUGGCUUUCACAAUUAUAUAUAUAUAUAUAAGCAAAUAUUAGAGGCGGCAAGAGGAUCUUAUCUGAUUGGUUUGCUUGACCAUCGUUGCUUAAAGCCUAAGUCCAUGAUUGAACUCACUGAGGGCAACAAUUGCAUUGUGAAAUCUGACUCAUGUGCAUGGAGAGAAGAGAGCGGAACUUCUGGUCUGGAAGGCAAUUUGGUUGAUGAGUAGGUGUAGAUAGCACAACCCAGAUGCUCCCAAUUGCCCAGAUAAUACCAGCCUCGUUGUUGUUGCUAACCGACCAGUAUUGGCGAAUUGUUUAUGUUGUCGUAUGCUGGCAGUGUCUUGCUGACGAAGGAGAGGAGGUGCUACGGGAAUGGUGGCGCUGAACAAAAAGUGAUAUGCCCUUGGUUGCUUGGCACUGGGUGCUCCAUCAAGAUUGGCGUUGUGUUUUAGCGCUAGGUGAUCGGUUAGGGUGAACGAUAGCUUUGCAGCCGUUGGGCGCUAAAAAUCCCUUUCGCAAAAGGAUGCUGCUAGCUAUCCUUUGCAACAGGGUUUGAUGGCAUUGGCGGAGAGUCGGAGUACUAAGCCGAGGAUGAUAUUGGGGGACCUCUUGGCAGAGACUCCACAAGGGUCGUGUUGGCAGAGGAACAAGAGAUUGAUAAUACACCAGUAUAUGGGAUGAUGUUGAUUGCUUGGUGUUGACGUUGGCGCUGCUUGUUGAUUUCGGUGCUGCUUUUAGGCUUGGCAGUGAAAAUGAAGACCUAGCUAGUUUGAUACAACUCCGACGUUUAAAAAAAAAAAAAGAGAUAAUUUCGCUUUACUACCCUGAACUUUAGGUCUAAAAUCAGUUUGAUACCUCAUCUUUUUUUUUAAUCAGUUCCAUACCUAAACUUUCAAAAUGACAUCAAUCUCGACCAAAAUGACUAAAAUAGCCCUGGUUAAUCUUUUUACCCUCUCAGAGUUAAGAAUGGCAGCGGCGACUGCCGGGGGAGGAGGAGGGGCUGCCGCAGGAGCCCAUUGCUGGUGGUAGGGGUGGAUGCCGGCGCUAACCAUAUGGUGGAUUUGGAGGCAGGGAGAGAGAGAGAGAGAGAAG